rnacentral:hammerhead_ribozyme from 1 species
GUACUGCUGAAGAGUUCCGAACCGGGACGAAACAACUGUCCAGUAC